rnacentral:lncRNA from 1 species
CCAUGAAAAUCAAAGGCUAAGAAGGAGAAGAAACCAAGGAUCCAUGGAGUUUUAGCUUGGAAGUCUUUGGGCUUGACAUGGGUGGUAUUGGAUUGCUUUGGAGAUGAGUUUUGAGAGAUUAUAUGGUUGUUUCUUUGAGUGUAUUUAGCAAUCUCGAAUUUAGGGAGAGAGAGGCAUUUUGAGGGGAUUUUAGAAGAGAAAAUAGGGACUUUUAUAAAGAAUCUUGAAGGCUUUGAAGUGGAAGAUGAACUCUUCCAUUUGGGGAGUGUUUGGACGAAAUAGAGGGGAGAGAAUGAGGGAUUUUGGCUUGUGUUUUUGU